AGUGAACGCUGGCGGUAGGCCUAACACAUGCAAGUCGAACGGCAGCACAGUAAGAGCUUGCUCUUACGGGUGGCGAGUGGCGGACGGGUGAGGAAUACAUCGGAAUCUACUUUUUCGUGGGGGAUAACGGAGGGAAACUUACGCUAAUACCGCAUACGACCUACGGGUGAAAGCAGGGGAUCUUCGGACCUUUGGCGAUUGAAUGAGCCGAUGUCGGAUUAGCUAGUUGGCGGGGUAAAGGCCCACCAAGGCGACGAUCCGUAGCUGGUCUGAGAGGAUGAUCAGCCACACUGGAACUGAGACACGGUCCAGACUCCUACGGGAGGCAGCAGUGGGGAAUAUUGGACAAUGGGCGCAAGCCUGAUCCAGCCAUACCGCGUGGGUGAAGAAGGCCUUCGGGUUGUAAAGCCCUUUUGUUGGGAAAGAAAAGCAGCAGGUUAAUACCCCGCUGUUCUGACGGUACCCAAAGAAUAAGCACCGGCUAACUUCGUG
rnacentral:rRNA from 1 species